rnacentral:rRNA from 1 species
GCCUAAUACAUGCAAGUCGAACGCUUCUUUUUCCACCGGAGCUUGCUCCACCGGAAAAAGAGGAGUGGCGAACGGGUGAGUAACACGUGGGUAACCUGCCCAUCAGAAGGGGAUAACACUUGGAAACAGGUGCUAAUACCGUAUAACAAUCGAAACCGCAUGGUUUUGAUUUGAAAGGCGCUUUCGGGUGUCGCUGAUGGAUGGACCCGCGGUGCAUUAGCUAGUUGGUGAGGUAACGGCUCACCAAGGCGACGAUGCAUAGCCGACCUGAGAGGGUGAUCGGCCACAUUGGGACUGAGACACGGCCCAAACUCCUACGGGAGGCAGCAGUAGGGAAUCUUCGGCAAUGGACGAAAGUCUGACCGAGCAACGCCGCGUGAGUGAAGAAGGUUUUCGGAUCGUAAAACUCUGUUGUUAGAGAAGAAUANGGNNGAGAGUAACUGUUCAUCCCUUGACGGUAUCUAACCAGAAAGCCACGGCUAACUACGUGCCAGCAGCCGCGGUAAUACGUAGGUGGCAAGCGUUGUCCGGAUUUAUUGGGCGUAAAGCGAGCGCAGGCGGUUUUCUUAAGUCUGAUGUGAAAGCCCCCGGCUCAACCGGGGAGGGUCAUUGGAAACUGGGAGACUUGAGUGCAGAAGAGGAGAGUGGAAUUCCAUGUGUAGCGGUGAAAUGCGUAGAUAUAUGGAGGAACACCAGUGGCGAAAGGCGGCUCUCUGGUCUGUAACUGACGCUGAGGCUCGAAAGCGUGGGGAGCAAACAGGAUUAGAUACCCUGGUAGUCCACGCCGUAAACGAUGAGUGCUAAGUGUUGGAGGGUUUCCGCCCUUCAGUGCUGCAGCUAACGCAUUAAGCACUCCGCCUGGGGAGUACGACCGCAAGGUUGAAACUCAAAGGAAUUGACGGGGGCCCGCACAAGCGGUGGAGCAUGUGGUUUAAUUCGAAGCAACGCGAAGAACCUUACCAGGUCUUGACAUCCUUUGACCACUCUAGAGAUAGAGCUUCCCCUUCGGGGGCAAAGUGACAGGUGGUGCAUGGUUGUCGUCAGCUCGUGUCGUGAGAUGUUGGGUUAAGUCCCGCAACGAGCGCAACCCUUAUUGUUAGUUGCCAUCAUUUAGUUGGGCACUCUAGCAAGACUGCCGGUGACAAACCGGAGGAAGGUGGGGAUGACGUCAAAUCAUCAUGCCCCUUAUGACCUGGGCUACACACGUGCUACAAUGGGAAGUACAACGAGUCGCAAAGUCGCGAGGCUAAGCUAAUCUCUUAAAGCUUCUCUCAGUUCGGAUUGUAGGCUGCAACUCGCCUACAUGAAGCCGGAAUCGCUAGUAAUCGCGGAUCAGCACGCCGCGGUGAAUACGUUCCCGGGCCUUGUACACACCGCCCGUCACACCACGAGAGUUUGUAACACCCGAAGUCGGUGAGGUAACCUUUUGGAGCCAGCCGCCUAAGGNGG